rnacentral:rRNA from 1 species
CAGAAACUCAAAGGAAUUGACGGGGGCCGCACAAGCGGUGGAGUAUGUGGUUUAAUUCGAUGCAACGCGAAGAACCUUACCUGGUCUUGACAUCCCAGAAAUCCCUUGGAAACUUUGGGAGUGCUUCCAUUAGGAAGAAUCUGGAGACAGGUGCUGCAUGGCUGUCGUCAGCUCGUGUCGUGAGAUGUUGGGUUAAGUCCCGCAACGAGCGCAACCCUUGCCUUUAGUUGCCAGCAGUUCGGCUGGGCACUCUAAAGGGACUGCCGGUGUUAAACCGGAGGAAGGUGGGGAUGACGUCAAGUCCUCAUGGCCUUUAUGACCAGGGCUACACACGUACUACAAUGGCCGAUACAAAGGGCAGCGACAUUGCGAAAUGAAGCCAAUCCCAUAAAUUCGGUCUCAGUCCGGAUUGGAGUCUGCAACUCGACUCCAUGAAGUUGGAAUCGCUAGUAAUCGUGGAUCAGCAUGCCACGGUGAAUACGUUCCCGGGCCUU